AGAAGAAAUUUGGUUUGACUCCUAUGUGGAAGGAGACAUGAACUAUCGUGAGGGUCAGAAGAAGGGGAUGAGAGAACCCAGACCUAGAAAGUGCUAGUGGAGACUUCCAAUAUGAAAUUAUUCCUUAUUUGCCUACACAGAAGAUGAGAUGAAGAGUUUGAUAAGUGACACUGACAAUGAGGGGAGCUCAGCCAGUAAACAGGCAUGUGAUUAACAAACCCUGAGAAAGGACAUGAUGAGCUGUGCCCCAUCAAGAGUUUGUAAUUCCACCCAGGAGAUUUGAGAGUAAGAAGAGAAGCUGAGAGUGACCAGAAUUAGGAUCACCAGGUGUGUUGGCAGUACAAGGGAACACAGAGGAUUCUGUCUGUACCUUCCACUUGCCAGUUCCUUUUCCUUUGCAAAACCAACAGAUUCACCUUUAACUAUUGAACCAUAAAGCAAAUGUCAUUGAAGUGCUA